GACGAACGCUGGCGGCGUGCUUAACACAUGCAAGUCGAACGGAAAGGCCCUGCUUGCAGGGUACUCGAGUGGCGAACGGGUGAGUAACACGUGGGUGAUCUGCCCUGCACUUCGGGAUAAGCUUGGGAAACUGGGUCUAAUACCGGAUAGGACCGCACUUUAGUGUGUGUGGUGGAAAGUUUUUUCGGUGUAGGAUGAGCUCGCGGCCUAUCAGCUUGUUGGUGGGGUAAUGGCCUACCAAGGCGGCGACGGGUAGCCGGCCUGAGAGGGUGUACGGCCACAUUGGGACUGAGAUGCGGCCCAGACUCCUACGGGAGGCAGCAGUGGGGAAGAUUGCACAAUGGGCGCAAGCCUGAUGCAGCGACGCCGCGUGGGGGAUGAAGGCCUUCGGGUUGUAAACUCCUUUCGCUAGGGACGAAGCUUUUUGUGACGGUACCUAGAUAAGAAGCACCGGCUAACUACGUG
rnacentral:rRNA from 1 species